UCAAAUUAAAAGCAUUAGCAAAGGAUUGAUUAAAAAUAGAUAAUAUAUUUAGCCAAAUAGCUUUAGAGUUAACUGACGAACCCACUGAAAUUGCAGAACCUAAGAAAUAAAAGCCAUAAAAAUGUAACCAAAAAAUUGUGAAGAAACAAGCCUAAAAACAUAGUCUCGAAUGGUCAUCUACAUCAAUAGUGUCUUCGAUAUCUUCAUCACCACCGUCAUUGUUAUGUAAACCUACGAAAAUAAAUAAUGAAACUAAAAAAAACGUAUUAAUGACAGUACUAACUACAUAGUUGGCUCAAAAAAAAGGAAAAAAAUUAGUUCAUAAUCUACACCAUACUACCUUGAUCAUCUUCAUCAUCACCAUCAACUAAACGUAGAAAAAUAAGAAAAAUCAACUCAAAUUUGAAGGACAUAAAUAUGCGUAUGGAAAUAGCACAUGAAGACAGUACAUUAGCAACAAUUGCUGAUAAUCCCUUUUCAUCAUCAUCAUAAAUCUGAAACAGAAGCUGAAAUGAAUAUAUUAGCAGCUAGAUCAUCAUCAACAAAAAAUACUGUAUCCAGUGAUUCUUUGCUGGAAUGUAUCAAACAUAAUUAUAACGGUCUAUCAAAACAAUUAGCAAAUUUAAAAGGCCAUAUCUGCUGACGUUCCCAAAUCCUAUCUGAAAUAAAAAAAUAACAGUACUCAGCUGUUAGAUUUCAGUUUAUUAACAGAUCCUGAAGGAAAUCCAGUGGUCCAAAAAUUAGAAUUUCCGCUAUCAACAAUGGAAGAUAUUAUUUUGAUAAAUUCAAUGAAAAAUUAAAAGGCCAAAAAUAUAAAAAUAAAAUGAAUAAACGUAUAUACUUUUCUCUUGAUGGAAAAAAUACUUUUACCCGUAAUAUGGGAAAUAUUACUCGUGUUUAUAUAACAAGAGAUGACAUAUGUAGCAGUUAAAGCAACUUCAAAAAAAAGUUUUCAAAGAUACGACUUUUUCACUUCUAUAAAAAGUAUGUUAAUCAUUAUAUAGUGCAGAAUUACUAUCAUUGAUACCUAAUUAAUUAUUUCUUAA